CAAACCGAACAGAAAACAGAGGUGAUUAGUGGUUUUACUGUGGCUGUUUUCUGUCUAAACAGAGCUAAGCUAACAGAGCUAUAAUGUAAACUAUCAGCCGACACAGCAGGUGAAGAUUAUAACACACAGUUUGUUUCUCAAU